UAAUACGUAGGGGGCUAGCGUUGUCCGGAAUCAUUGGGCGUAAAGAGCGUGUAGGCGGCCAGAUAGGUCGGUUGUGAAAACUGGAGGCUUAACCUUCAGACGUCGAUCGAAACCAUCUGGCUAGAGUCCGGAAGAGGAGAAUGGAAUUCCUGGUGUAGCGGUGAAAUGCGCAGAUAUCAGGAAGAACACCCGUGGCGAAGGCGGUUC
rnacentral:rRNA from 1 species